CAUUAAAGUUGUAUAUAUUCAUUCCGAGUCUCUUUAUUCUUCUUCAUUAUCUCCUAUCACAUCUUGAACUGCUGUUCUUCAUUAAUUCAAUAAUAUUCUCUUCAAAGCUCCAUUCUUUCUCAAGUUUUGGAAGAUGAGAAGAAUCUGUAACUUGGAGCUAAGGCUUGUCCCUCCUUGUGUUUCAGCUUUUUCUCCUAAAGAAUAUUGCACUACCACUCCAUUCUUCUCCAUGUAACUCUCUCUCUCUCUCUCCAUGUUUUGAGUUUUUGAAGUUCAAUUAUCCCUUUUCUGUUAUAUCACUGAUCUUAUAGUUCCUUCGUCUCAAUUUAUGGGAUGUAUUGUGACCGGCAUAAUAGAAAGAUACGGAGGUUCAGUAUUAGGAUUGUAGGUUAGAAGAUAGUUGAAUCUUGCCUUACUUCGUACUAUUGUGGGACUAGUCUAGUAGAAUUUUUGUUUAGCUACUGACAAUGUUGUGUCUUACUAUUUCGUUUUUCCGUGAAUGACAUAUUUACUAGCUAUCACUUUUGCUUUGCAUGUUUCUUUUGGAUUUCAUGUUGUUCUUAUUUUCCGUAUGAUCUUUUUGGUGAUACUAAUAAUGUCUCCUUUUGUCUUUUUGUUUUCUUGAACUCCCUUGACCACUAAACUACACUUUUGGGUUGUUUUAAGGCGGUUCAAAACUUAAUAGAUAGAGG
rnacentral:lncRNA from 1 species